rnacentral:rRNA from 1 species
UCUGGUUGAUCCUGCCAGAGGUUACUGCUAUCGAGGUUCGACUAAGCCAUGCGAGUCGAAUGUAGCAAUACAUGGCGUACUGCUCAGUAACACGUGGAUAACCUACCCUUGAGUCGGGGAUAAACCCGGGAAACUGGGUAUAAUACCCGAUAGAUCUCGACUGCUGGAAUGCAUCGAGCUCUAAAGCUCCGGCGCUCAAGGAUGGAUCUGCGGCCUAUCAGGUAGUAGUGGGUGUAGCGUACCUACUAGCCUACGACGGGUACGGGUUGUGAGAGCAAGAGCCCGGAGAUGGAUUCUGAGACACGAAUCCAGGCCCUACGGGGUGCAGCAGGCGCGAAAACUUUACAAUGCCGGCAACGGCGAUAAGGGGACCUCGAGUGCCAGGUUACAAAUCUGGCUGUCGUGAUGCCUAAAAAGCAUUGCAUAGCAAGGGCCGGGCAAGACCGGUGCCAGCCGCCGCGGUAACACCGGCGGCUCGAGUGGUAACCGUUAUUAUUGGGUCUAAAGGGUCUGUAGCCGGCUGGAUAAGUCUCUUGAGAAAUCCGGCAGCUCAACUGUCGGGCUUUCAGGAGAUACUGUCCGGCUCGAGACCGGGAGAGGUGAGAGGUACUUCAGGGGUAGGGGUGAAGUCUUGUAAUCCUUGAAGGACCACCAGUGGCGAAGGCGUCUCACCAGAACGGAUCUGACGGCAAGGGACGAAAGCUAGGGGCACGAACCGGAUUAGAUACCCGGGUAGUCCUAGCCGUAAACGAUACUCGCUAGGUGUCGGCCACGGUGCGACCGUGGUCGGUGCCGUAGGGAAGCCGUGAAGCGAGCCACCUGGGAAGUACGGCCGCAAGGCUGAAACUUAAAGGAAUUGGCGGGGGAGCA